rnacentral:rRNA from 1 species
UACGUAGGGGGCAAGCGUUGUCCGGAAUCAUUGGGCGUAAAGAGCGUGUAGGCGGUUCGGUAAGUCGGCUGUGAAAGUCCAGGGCUCAACCCUGGGAUGCCGGUCGAUACUGCCGGACUAGAGUUCGGAAGAGGCGAGUGGAAUUCCCGGUGUAGCGGUGAAAUGCGCAGAUAUCGGGAGGAACACCUAUGGCGAAGGCAGCUCGCUGGGACGUUACUGACGCUGAGACGCGGAAGCGUGGGGAGCAAACAGG